rnacentral:rRNA from 1 species
CCUACGGGGGGCAGCAGUGGGGAAUCUUGCACAAUGGGCGAAAGCCUGAUGCAGCGACGCCGCGUGGGCGAAGAAGGCCUUUGGGCCGUAAAGCCCUGUCGGGAGGGAAGAAGGAAGCGACGGUACCUCCCAAGGAAGCCCCGGCUAACUACGUGCCAGCAGCCGCGGUAACACGUAGGGGGCGAGCGUUAUCCGGAAUCAUUGGGCGUAAAGGGUGCGUAGGCGGCCUUUUAAGCGCGGGGUCUAAGGCGGUGGCCCAACCACCGUUCGCCCCGCGAACUGGAGGGCUAGAGUGUCGGAGAGGG